UACGUAGGGUGCGAGCGUUAAUCGGAAUUACUGGGCGUAAAGCGUGCGCAGGCGGUUUUGUAAGCCAGAUGUGAAAUCCCCGGGCUUAACCUGGGAAUGGCAUUUGGGACUGCAAGGCUUGAGUGCGGCAGAGGAGACUGGAAUUCCUGGUGUAGCAGUGAAAUGCGUAGAUAUCAGGAGGAAUACCGGUGGCGAAGGCGGCAUCCUGGACCGACAUUGACGCUGAUGAGCGAAAGCUAGGGGAGCAAACGGG
rnacentral:rRNA from 1 species